rnacentral:misc_RNA from 1 species
AGGGAAAGUGCUAGAGUUAAGAUUCGUACUAUAAUCUCUAGUUAAUAAAUGUAUCUACUCAAGGAGUAAUUAUUACUGUAUAUUAUAGUCCUUUUUUUAAUAUAUAUAUAUAGAUGCUAGUUUUUUUUUCUCAGGUUAAUGCAUCAAGAAAUAUUACAUAUUAUGUUAUUGGUAACAAAUGUUUAAACAUAUAUAUGUUGUUGCAAUAAAAAAAUGAAACAU